UACGUAGGUGGCAAGCGUUGUCCGGAUUUAUUGGGUUUAAAGGGUGCGUAGGCGGCUUUGUAAGUCAGUGGUGAAAUAUGGCAGCUUAACUGUCAAGGUGCCAUUGAUACUGCGGAGCUUGAGUACAGAUGAGGUAGGCGGAAUUGACGGUGUAGCGGUGAAAUGCUUAGAUAUCGAGAGGAACACCUGCGGCGAAGGCGGGUUGCUGGGCUGAUGACUGACGCUGAGGCGCGAAAGCCAGGGGAGCGAACGGG
rnacentral:rRNA from 1 species